rnacentral:rRNA from 1 species
UACGAAGGGGGCUAGCGUUGCUCGGAAUCACUGGGCGUAAAGCGUGUGUAGGCGGCUUUGCAAGUCGGAUGUGAAAGCCCCGGGCUCAACCCGGGAAGUGCACUCGAUACUGCGGAGCUUGAGUGUCGGAGAGGUUGGUGGAAUUCUCGGUGUAGAGGUGAAAUUCGUAGAUAUCGAGAGGAACACCGGUGGCGAAGGCGGCCAACUGGACGAACACUGACGCUGAGACACGAAAGCGUGGGGAGCAAACAGG